rnacentral:rRNA from 1 species
GACGAACGCUGGCGGCGUGCUUAACACAUGCAAGUCGAACGGAAAGGCCCCUUUGGGGGUACUCGAGUGGCGAACGGGUGAGUAACACGUGAGUAACCUGCCCUUGACUUCGGGAUAACUUCAGGAAACUGGGGCUAAUACCGGAUAGGAAUCCUUGCUGCAUGGUGGGGGUUGGAAAGCUUCGGCGGUUUUGGAUGGACUCGCGGCUUAUCAGCUUGUUGGUGGGGUAGUGGCUUACCAAGGCUUUGACGGGUAGCCGGCCUGAGAGGGCGACCGGCCACAUUGGGACUGAGAUACGGCCCAGACUCCUACGGGAGGCAGCAGUGGGGAAUAUUGCACAAUGGGCGGAAGCCUGAUGCAGCAACGCCGCGUGCGGGAUGACGGCCUUCGGGUUGUAAACCGCUUUCAGCAGGGGCGAAGCUUGUGGUGACGGUACCUGCAGAAGAAGCGCCGGCUAACUACGUG